GGUUGUGGCUCAGCGGUAGAGCACUCGCCUAGCACACUCGAGGUCCUGGGUUCCAUCCUCAGUACCA
rnacentral:tRNA from 1 species